UAACUGACUCCAAAAAUGGUUAAUUUCAAUGAAUAUUGGAGUGAUAUCUGAAUGUAAAUGCUGAUUCAUAUCUAAUGCUUGUAGCAGUUUUAUUUAGUAGAAGUAUGUCAAAACUGAUAAAGGAUGAUACUGUUUAUUGAGGCCUAUGUGUCUUACCGUGUUGCAUGAGUGUGUGAAGAAACUUUCAGCAAGCUCAAGUAGAGGAUUCCCUCAAUGUAGGAAAGUCAUUUCACCACAAGGGUUUGAGAAAUAAUGGAUAUUAUCUACAAGUAUUCACCCAACUUAUAUCCAAGCUGAUCUAUUUAGGACCCUUCCCUGUAGACAUGAAGUAUACAUUCAACUGAAGUGUCAUUGUAAUUGUGUACCUUCUCAGUUAUUGGGCAAGUUAAAGAGCAUGAGGAAUAUUUGUAGUCUCGUGGUAUAAAUUCUUUUGAUAUGUUGCAUGAAAGAUAUGUGGGAGUAGUGCCACCUGCUUUGACAUUGAUUCCCAGGUGUCUGAGUUGCUUCUCUGGUUUUAGAUCACAUUGGUCCUCAUUCCUCAGCAUAUUGACAUUGUUACUGAUACUCUCUUAUUUUUGAAAUAUUUAUAUGAAAAAUUACAUCGCAUUUGAAAUUGUCAGAGUAUAUAUUGUGAAGCCUGUAUUGUUGUUUUCUUCAGUGUGUUUCUGUCAUGUUCCUGUUUCAAGACACAAAGUAUAAAACCUCAAAGCCUACGCGAAUACAGGCAGAAAAAUACAGGUUGAUGCUAAUACGGAAUGAAUGUUUCUAUAUCUUUACCACAUUUACAUAUGGUUUAUUAUGUAUCCCUUUUUCUCUUCAGUGUCUUCUCAGAAACAACUGACCUUGGAGGUAAUUACACCCUCAUUUGUAUUUUGAACUAUUAACUGUGUAGUCUAUGAUAUAUCCUUUAUGUGUUGAUUAUUUUUCUUCAAAUCCCCUUCAGGAUCUAAGUGAUGAGAAAGAUUCCGUUUCCAAUAUAGCCCCAGAAAUAAAGGAUGGAUCAACAUCUGAGACAGUGCAUCCUGCCGUUGACAAGCAUUUAAACAGGCAUUUCUGGGCACAGCGUGUUUUUCCCAAGUCUGGGCUAAAGGACGAUUCUGAUUCUGAUUCUGAUUCUGUGGUAAAGUACUCACUUGUAAAAUUAAAUUCUCACUCUGAAUCUCAUUUUGUAUAUUACUAUCUUCUAGAUGUAGCAGUUGUCUACCUAUCAGUGUUUUACGGUUGCAUUAAAAAUUUUAUUAGAGAUAACCAUUUCAAAGACAUAGGAGGGGUUAAUUUUUAUUUUGUUUACUUGGCAAAUAAGAAAUAGUUGAUAAGUACUUUGAGAGGUGGGAUCUGAAAAAAAUGGGCUGGAAAAUAUAUGCUGACAGGAAAAUGAUGUUGGAGAAUGCUUUCUUGCAAUAGAGGAAAUAGGAAUGUUGGUCUAGACUUAUUUGAGUAAGUGUCUUUAUUUUGAGUUAUAAAUAAUAUGAGUAUGAGUAAUAAUACUUCUGUUUAAAUGUGUGUUUAAUAGAUUAAAUGACAUUACAGGAAUCAUGGAAUCACCCUGCUACACAUAGCGUAUAGUUUCUUUUAAUGUCUUUUACAUUUACUUUGAUAUAUACCAUUUUUGCAGUGAGCAGUUUCUUUAUUUUUACCUUCGGUUCUAUAAUUAGACUAAAAGAAUACCAGAGAUUCUGGAAAUUUGACUAGACAGGGUAACAUAUGCCUGUAGUCCCAGCUCUUCAAGAGAUGAAGCUAGGAGAAUUGCUUGAGUCCAUGCAAGACCUUAUCUCUAAUUAAAAAUAAAAAAUUGUGGGAGAUUAGAAAUUUAAGUUCCCUUCUGAAAUCUGUAUUACAAAGGGUCUACACUGUGUUUUCUAAAUAUUUUUAUAAUUAAGAAUACGCUUUAAACGCUUCAUCUAUUGGAAGAAUAUAUAUUUUGUUAAAAAAAAAAAAACAACCUGUUUGAUAAGCAGAGACUCUUCAUAUUCUUAUGGUAAGACUUUAAUUCCGCAAGGGUUUUGCAUUAUAAUUUAAAAAAAUAUCCACUCGGGGUCCUUGUAUCUCAUUCUGAACUUCAAAUUUUGGAGUCUUUUGCACUUUGUUCUUGAAAAAGUAGUUGUAAAGCUCCUGCAUUACUAUGAGCCACUUGAAAUAGAGAACAUAUUUGUAUGUAUCCUGGAAUACGUAGAAUAAUAUCUUGCAUAUCAAAAACAGUGUAACAGUUUUAGUGUGAAUAAACAAACCAGAAAAUGGGCUUUUAUAUAAUGGAAUGUUAUAGUUAACACAUAUGCAUAAUAUAGCUAAUAAUGAAAUCUGUUAAAUUUCUAGAAUGUUUUCAGUUUAUCUUUUCUUCUAAGGUUGACAAUGUGUAAAUUUACGUGACUUCUGUUUAGAAAAUACAUCAUAUGGAAGAAAAUAAAAAUUAGAAAAGAUGGAUUGAAAUUGGAAAGGUGGAUACAACAUGUUUUCUAAUACCUUCCAACUGGAAGCGUAGGUUAGGAUUUUGGAUAAAAUUUUCUUAACUGUUAAAGCUCCAGUCAUAUUCUAUUAAAUAUAUAUAUUUCAAGGCAUACAUUAUUCUUUGAAAUUGUGAAUAAAAAUUAUUAGUCCAGGAGGAAGAUCCAAGAUGCUCAUUUAGGAGCAGCUCGGGAUUGCAGCUCCCAGCGAAAGCGCAGAGGGUGAGUGGACACCGCAUUUCCAGAUGGAUCUUUAUUGCCCAGAGAUCAGGAGAUUCCCAGGCAGAGGAGCCCCAUGAGUCACCAGUGCGGCUGUUUUGGCCAGCGCGGCUAUUUUGCUGGUGCUCCAGCGUGGCAGUUCUCCAUACAAAAUACACUGGUGUGGUUGUCCUUUUAAGCUGGUGAUUGGAACUCCAGGAAGUUAGAGUCGCCCAUACACCUCAUUAAACAGGGGUCUGAAACAGGGAGCCAGGCCAGGGGAUUACCAGGUGAAAAAGUGCCACGAAUCUCAGUGCCGUUGUUUCAGACAGUGCAGUGGGUCACCACAUGGGAAAUCACACAGAUCCCGGUGUUUUUUCAGCAGGCGACUGGAA
rnacentral:lncRNA from 1 species